AUCAAAUGUAAAAACCUUUUCUUAUAUUUUGAUUGGUUAGCUUUUGUACAUGUAAACACACAGAGAACACUGCACUAACAGAGCUGGAAUUCAAGGGAGAAUAGCACAAGGCAGCAUAAAUCCCAGGAUCAAUGCCACCGGUGCGGCAGCAUCAGUCGCUUGCUUGAGCAAGCUGGGGAACGUAAUGGCCUGCGUAGCUUUCUCCAGUUACAAAAAAUUCCCUGGUCUUGUACUCGGGAAAUCUGUCUAACCAGUUAACUAGAAAUGAAAAGGACUCUCGGGCGGUUGUACUAUCUUCACUUGAAUCGUAGACAGAUGUUGUGUUUGAAUGAGAAAAUCCAACACCAGCAGGGGA
rnacentral:misc_RNA from 1 species